CCAUUAUAUCCCAUGGGAUUGUGUAUUUGUAGAUUGAUGAGGCAAUAAAGCUCUUGCUGAAAAUUCUAAAUGCUUCUCACUGAACUGCAAAUCACAGGAUUCCAAGAGAUGCAGUUAAAGUGGUAUAUAGCAUCACUAUUGUUAAAGUACCUAAUAAUUGCUAUCAUAUUAUAUGCAAUUCUGUGAUGAGACAACUCUUUCUGGUUCAGCUCUGCCUUGGAUCUGAACUGGAGCCUAUCAAGUCAUUGCCACAUACCAUUUCAUGACAGGUGUAACUGUUAUUGCUCUGGGAACAGUGAAUCUAUUUUCAGUUUUCCAGACCCUUCUCCUUUAACAAUGACAGGAGCCAGGACAAAAACUAUGGUUGGAGUAUCCCAUAGUCUACUCUUCUCAUAUGUAAGCAAGUGUAGGAUGAAGCCUGAGGACUGCUGUAUCCAUUGGAAAUGGAGAAGCUUUACAGGCUAUCUAGCCAUCCAGGAGCCAGAAGAGAGGAACAUAUCACUGGAGCCGGACAAGGAGCUGGCCUAAUCAAGGAGGGGCAAUAGACUGCUUACUCCUGAGUGAACUGUUAAAGAUGUUACUGAUUCAAAUUUGGCAUGUGGAAAGCAUUACGAUUCCAGUGCAGUAUAUUACAGUUAGGUGUUGCAUUACCAAGAUCAGAAAUAAGGCACAUCACAACAAAGAAGUAAAAAAGAUGACCAUGAGAUGGAUGGAUUCAAUCAAGAAAUCUUGGCACUGAGCCUUGUGCUUGAUGGAAGAGGACGACAUCCCAGGUAUAAAAGGAGUGUUCUGAGGUCUCCAGUCUUUGGUUCCAGGUAUAACGAUAGCUGAGUUCCUCUGUUAGAACCUCGAAAGACCUGAGUUGAUAACUAUUGAUAACUGAGAAUUGUGGAGGCUUCUUGUUAAUUACGUUGUCUUAAGUCAAAGCCAACCAAUUCUUAGAGAGCUGUUCUCUGGGUAAAAAACCCAGCAAUUUAUUUAUUUGUGCUUUUUUACUUUUACUGGGGUCUUGUGCCCCUAAUUACAGCAAAUGUGGAAGGCUCGUUGCAAUGCCCUUUCCAUCCAUUUUUAAAUAGCAUAUUGGUAGGUCAAAACCGCAGGUCAACCAGGAUCAUAUUUAAAUAUGUUUGGAAGAGGAGUGUCUAUCUUAACACAAAAGCUACAGCAAAUCUCAAAGAUGCUGGAACUCUUCUUUCCCCCAUGUCAUUAUUAGAGUCUGGAGGUUUGGAAGAAGAAGCAUGAAGAAAGAAUCUGGGUCACGAUAGUGUAGGAUUUCACUAGGAGGUCAAACCCCUUAUGGCAUGAGGCCAUCGUAUAUCUGUUUGGAAUAAAAGAGGCCUGUUUCAAAGGCUUCUUUGACUUAGUAUUCAGCAGCUCUACUAACUUGUUACUUCAGAUCACACAGGAAUACUAUCUGAUAGAACAAAUGCAGGGAAAAAAUAGGACAUAUUUUAAAAAGCCAGUUUAAGGACAUAAGAGCCAAGCUAUAGGUUUAGUUUCAUCAAUACGACCCAUGUUUGGCCAGGUGACACCAGAGGGUUCAUUUACACUGUAGAAUGAAUAUAGUUUGACACCACUUGAAUUGUCAAACUACAAUCCCCAAGCUUCUAUAGCAUUGAGCCAUAGCAAUUAAAGUGGCAUCAAACUUUAUUAAAUAUACAGUGGAGAUACACUCAGAUGUAUAGCCACCCAAACACAUAGAAUCAGAGAGUUGGA